GACGGAGGAUGCAAGCGUUAUCCGGAAUGAUUGGGCGUAAAGCGUCUGCAGGUGGCUGUUCAAGUCUGCUGUCAAAGACCGGGGCUUAACUUCGGAAAGGCAGUGGAAACUGAACAGCUAGAGUAUGGUAGGGGCAGAGGGAAUUCCUGGUGUAGCGGUGAAAUGCGUAGAGAUCAGGAAGAACAUCGGUGGCGAAGGCGCUCUGCUGGACCAGAACUGACACUCAGGGGCGAAAGCUAGGGGAGCGAAUGGG
rnacentral:rRNA from 1 species